rnacentral:rRNA from 1 species
UGGGGAAUUUUGGACAAUGGGGGAAACCCUGAUCCAGCCAUCCCGCGUGUGCGAUGAAGGCCUUCGGGUUGUAAAGCACUUUUGGCAGGAAAGAAACGUCAUGGGUUAAUACCCCGUGAAACUGACGGUACCUGCAGAAUAAGCACCGGCUAACUACGUGCCAGCAGCCGCGGUAAUACGUAGGGUGCAAGCGUUAAUCGGAAUUACUGGGCGUAAAGCGUGCGCAGGCGGUUCGGAAAGAAAGAUGUGAAAUCCCAGAGCUCAACUUUGGAACUGCAUUUUUAACUACCGGGCUAGAGGGUGUCAGAGGGAGGUGGAAUUCCGCGUGUAGCAGUGAAAUGAGUAGAUAUGCGGAGGAACACCGAUGGCGAAGGCAGCCUCCUGGGAUAACACUGACGCUCAUGCACGAAAGCGUGGGGAGCAAACAGG